GAUUUAGGUGCAGCGGGAAGGUCCUUACCUACUUUUGACAUCCAGAGAACUUAGCAGAGAUGCUUUGGUGCCUUCGGGAACUCUGAGACAGGUGCUGCAUGGCUGUCGUCAGCUCGUGUUGUGAAAUGUUGGGUUAAGUCCCGCAACGAGCGCAACCCUUAUCCUUUGUUGCCAGCGGUUAGGCCGGGAACUCAAAGGAGACUGCCAGUGAUAAACUGGAGGAAGGUGGGGAUGACGUCAAGUCAUCAUGGCCCUUACGAGUAGGGCUACACACGUGCUACAAUGGCGCAUACAAAGAGAAGCGACCUCGCGAGAGCAAGCGGACCUCAUAAAGUGCGUCGUAGUCCGGAUUGGAGUCUGCAACUCGACUCCAUGAAGUCGGAAUCGCUAGUAAUCGUAGAUCAGAAUGCUACGGUGAAUACGUUCCCGGGCCUUGUACACACCGCCCGUCACACCAUGGGAGUGGGUUGCAAAAGAAGUAGGUAGCUAACUUCGGAGGGCGCUUACCACUUGAUUUCU
rnacentral:rRNA from 1 species